ACGAACGCUGGCGGCGUGCUUAACCCAUGCCAGUCGAACGGAAAGGCCCUGCUUUUGUGGGGUGCUCGAGUGGCGAACGGGUGAGUAACACGUGAGUAACCUGCCCUUGACUUUGGGAUAACUUCAGGAAACUGGGGCUAAUACCGGAUAGGAGCUCCUGCUGCAUGGUGGGGGUUGGAAAGUUUCGGCGGUUGGGGAUGGACUCGCGGCUUAUCAGCUUGUUGGUGGGGUAGUUGCUUACCAAGGCUUUGACGGGUAGCCGGCCUGAGAGGGUGACCGGCCACAUUGGGACUGAGAUACGGCCCAGACUCCUACGGGAGGCAGCAGUGGGGAAUAUUGCACAAUGGGCGGAAGCCUGAUGCAGCAACGCCGCGUGCGGGAUGACGGCCUUCGGGUUGUAAACCGCUUUCGCCUGUGACGAAGCGUGAGUGACGGUAAUGGGUAAAGAAGCACCGGCUAACUACGUG
rnacentral:rRNA from 1 species